rnacentral:tRNA from 1 species
GGAUUGUAGCUCAGUGGCAGAGCGCUUGCCUAGCAUGUGUGAGACACUGGGUUCUAUUCUCAGCACCA